ACGAAGGGGGCUAGCGUUGUUCGGAAUUACUGGGCGUAAAGCGCACGUAGGCGGAUAUUUAAGUCAGGGGUGAAAUCCCGGGGCUCAACCUCGGAACUGCCUUUGAUACUGGGUAUCUUGAGUAUGGAAGAGGUAAGUGGAAUUGCGAGUGUAGAGGUGAAAUUCGUAGAUAUUCGCAGGAACACCAGUGGCGAAGGCGGCUUACUGGUCCAUUACUGACGCUGAGGUGCGAAAGCGUGGGGAGCAAACAGG
rnacentral:rRNA from 1 species